UACGUAGGGGGCUAGCGUUGUCCGGAAUCAUUGGGCGUAAAGCGCGUGUAGGCGGUCCGGUAAGUCCGCUGUGAAAGUCGGGGGCUCAACCCUCGGAUGCCGGUGGAUACUGUCGGGCUUGAGUACGGAAGAGGCGAGUGGAAUUCCUGGUGUAGCGGUGAAAUGCGCAGAUAUCAGGAGGAACACCAGCGGCGAAGGCGGCGCUCUGGGCUGGAACUGACGCUGAGGAGCGAAAGCGUGGGGAGCGAACAGG
rnacentral:rRNA from 1 species